GGGUGCCCAGUGAGUGUCUGAGAGAACCCCAACUCCAGACCCCAAAGUCUGCCCCGGCCCCGCGCUCGUCUCUGCCUCGUCGACUUUGUCUUAUACCACUGUCCCUUCCUUUUUCUCUGGGGGGUCCUUUUGGUCCCUCCCCUGCCUUUUCCCGCUCAGAAAGCCGAAUUUCGCAGAUUCUCAGCUCCGAGGAGAAAAUUUUGCCGGAAAUUAAAUCCUUCCUUCUGUUAGGCAGUAGUCGAUUGAUGGGAGGAGCUAAAAGUCACUUGGUGUCCUGACAAGAUGUGUUACUCUUUUGCUAAGAUCGUCAUCUCUAAUGCUUUGAGGGAGGUAACUUCUGCACACCUAGAACUUUCGGAUUACUACCGAGCUUGAAGAAUCUUAUUUUGGAAGAGACUUUUUGGUUUUUCUAGACAUUGGACUUCCAUGUACAGUUAAAUUUUCAAGAUAAUUUUGGAGACUAACAUGGAGCUUUUUACUUUCAUUUUUGCCAAGGUAAGUGCAAGAAAAUAUAAAACUGUCAUUCAUCACCACUACUAACAAAAAGGACAUCUUAACACCAAAUAAAUAGGAAAGUCAUAAAGACAGAGAAAAAGAAAUUUCAAUUCAAUUGGGUACGUUUACCCUUAUGAAAGUGUCGCUCACUGCAUGUUUCUUAUUUCUCUGAAUGUACCAGUGGCUAGUGGAAACCUUGACAUAGAGAAGCAACAUUCUUAGAAAAAGCAAAUGAAUAUUUGUCUCAGUCAACCACCUUCCACCAAUAUCCAGUGCUUGAAUUCAUCACAUUCUCCCAAGUGGCAGGGAGCCUCUGAUGUCUCACUUGGAAGAAUGUGAUUUCUCUUAGGUAUGUUUUAAUGACAGUCAUCACUGGGCUAUUUGAAAGUCUUGUGGGGACCUGCAGAGCAUAUGUUUAUUUAGUGAGAGGGUAGCACUAGCUGUAGCACGAGAUUGCUUUGGACAUUUAACCUUUUAUAGCUUAUGGCAUAAAAUUUCUCUACAUACCGAUUUUGAGUAUAAAAUACGAGGUAAUUUUAUGGUUUUUAAAUCUUUCUAAUUUGCUGGUCCCUUGAUUCCCAUCUCGGUAGGCCGCCAUUGUGAUCUCUAACAGGAAAACUGAAUAGAUUUGAAAUUAUUGUUUAUGUUGCUCUCUAUACAGACACAAUAAAAAAUAAUUUGUCUCUCAUUCUCUUGAAGAGACUAAAAUAUAUUUUUAAAAAUCUCACAGUAGCUGUUGAGAUGUGUGCUAGCUUGAUGAACUUGUGCUGAAUAUGGAAAUGCUCUUCCAGGCCAAGGAAAUCUCAAAGAAAAUUAUCACCUUAAAAAGGUAAUGUUAACACUGCAGCACAUUUAAAUUUCCUCAGGUAUCACCAGUCUGAAGGUACAAGAGGAGAGUAACAUCAACGGUAAUAAUUCACAUUCCACUGACUCUUGCCCCCACUGAUUUAUAGACAAACUUCUCAUUUGUUUCUGGGCAGUCCAGGGUGUGUUUGCAAAGUGCCCGAACAGUUCUGGGAGGUUUUCCUAUGGUCCCCAUCAGAAGGCAGGGCUGAGACUUCCCUGGCCGUCCUGUGGUUAAGACUUCACCUUCCAGUGCAGGGGCUGCAGGUUCGAUCCUUGGUAGGGGAGCUAAGAUCCCACAUGCCUCGGGGCCAAAAAACCAAAACAGAAAACAGAAGCAAUAUUGUAAUAAAUUCAGUAAAGACUAAAAAGUAAAAAAAUGAAAAGGCAAUGCUGCUUCUUCCCAGCCAUGGGCUUUGGCACAACGUGCCCCACAAGUCAGCUGAGCCUCAGCGGCGGGUGCACGGUAGGCUGGUGCUGAGGUUCCUGCUGCACAUAUGGAAAACAUGGUCCCUUCUGUGUAAUUGCAGUUCCAGCUCUAGGUAACCAACCCAUGCUCUUAUUUUUAUGUUAAGGCUUAUUUUUAUUUUAGAAAAACUUCUUUCAUUAGUAGUGGCAUGAAAUAUAUGAAGAUUAUGUUUGGAAUCAAGCACUUGAAUUCACUCCUUCCUUCAGUGAAUAUGUAUUGAACCCUAGUAUAUGCCAGGCAGUGUUCUACAUGCUGGGGAUAAAUGAUAAAACAAAUUAAGCCCCUGCCCUCAAGGAGAGUAACAAUAACCAAAUUAACAUUGAGUUCAUGAUGCCAGCUCAUUUCUGCAAAUAUAACAUCUUGAUUUCCAGCAAGUUUUCUGAGAUUCUGAUCUAAAGAAUUGCUACCUUCAAUAGCACAAAUCAUUUGAGGGGGAGAGGGGCCAGUUAUGUAUUUCCUCUUUUAUAAUUAAAGUAACUGUAAAAAGAGGAGGAGAGUUCUGAGGGUAAAGGCAGAGAGUGUUGCAAUCUUGCUAGAUUUCACAUUGAGUCUCUCACUCUGAUUGAUGACAUUUACACUCCGUGCAACUCCUUACCUAGAUCUUCGCCAGGACUUGACAAUUCAGGACACUAUAGACUAGUUUACUUUCUAAUGCAUUUUAUGUCAUUUGGAAGCCCUUCAGUGCCCAAAUACUAUAUACUAUGUUUGCAACUUACUUUGAAAUGUAUCAGAAAAUAAGAUGGAUUAAUGUAUGAUAGAGGGAUGCAUAGAUGGUUAGGUAUGUAAUAAAGCAAAUAUAACAAUGUUAACUGUAGAGUCCAGGUGACAGGUAUACGUAUAAUUAGGUCACUGGAUAGGUCAUGGUAUAAUUCUUUUAAGUUCUCUGUGUUUGAACAUUUAUGUAGUAAAAUAUUGAAUAAAAAUCUCUUUACUAGACUGAAGAUUUAUACUUUUUAGUUCACAUUAUGGAAUUAAAAUUUUGUGAAGACAAUAUUUAAAUUACCUUUCAAUAAAAUUGUCUUCAUUAAUGGACAUGGAUUAAUUUUUCUUAACAUGGAUGAAUUUUUAAAUGUUUUUAAAAAACACUGGGGGGAGGGGGAAUUGGAGAAAGAUGGUCAAAAGGUACAAACUUUCAGUUAUAAGAUAACUAAGUACUAGGGAUGUGCUGUACAACAUGAUGACUAUAGCUGACACUGCUGUAUGACAUACAGGAAAGUUGUUAGGAGAGUCAUCUAAGAGCUUUCCUAAGAGCUCUCAUCUCAAGGAGAAAAUUGUUUUCUUUUUAUUGAACCUAUGAGAUGAUAGAUGUCACUUGAACCUAUUGUAGUAAUCGUUUCACAAUAUAUGUAAAUCAAGCCAUCAUGCUGUCUGCCUUAAACCUGUACAGCAAUGUUUGUCAAUUAUUUCUCAAAAAACUGGGGUGGGGGGAAGCACUUCCAUGUUUCUUUUUAGAAAGUUUAUACAAUGGGAAUGUGAAAUUGCUGUAUGAUUUUUUUGUUUUAAAAAGACAUGUCUUCCUAGAAUAUCUAUUUUACAUACUCAGGCAAUUGUUAACAAGUUUAACUAUUAAUAAAUUCACUUCUUAAAAUAAAAUCAGAGAGGCAACUGUUUGACAACUGCUGAAAAUACUUUUUCUUAGAGGAGCUGUAUUGGUCAGGGUUCAAAGCAGAGAACAAAAUCUACUCUAAAGUAAUUUAAGCCAAAAGGGAUUUAUUACAUGGUCUAUUACAAAUGGUUGGCAGGAUUGCAAAAACAGCCUGCCGGCUAAGCUUCAGGAGUGACUCACAAAUCCAGGCUAUAGAACCGAGCUGUCAAGGGACUGUUGUUCAGGCCAUUCUCGAAGUCCACCUGUUGAAUGGGGAAGCCACCCCUACAGCUACUGGUUCCACAGCCAUAUGUCCUUCACUACAAUACACCCUGUCACGAAGAUGCCGCAUAAACUGCUCCUCCCCCACUUAGUUCACUCUACACAAGUGCCUCUAGUGGUGGAAUUUAUAUCACAUCAAUAACUCUAGCUGCAAGGGAAUUUGAGAAAUGCAUUUUUAGCCUUCUAGAUACUAAAGCCCAAGAAGGCAUGUUAAGAAGAGGGUGGCAUUAAAUGAAAGACUGUUGGAGACUUUUUGAUGAACAAAUCAGCCUGACAGCGCUCACUGAUCAACAUUACCAUUGAGUGUCUACAUUACUAAACACUAUAGCCCUUCUGCUGGGUGUAAUGAGUAAAUGGCAGCACCUAUGAAGCCUUCUUGCCCAAAACAUCAAACCUGAAUCUGAGAAAGCCACCAGAUCCAACUAUCAAGUUUACAAGAACUAGAGGGAUAGAGGCACAUGUUACCACCACCACAGGGGUGCAAUUAGCAAAAUCCAGUGUGGGAAACUUUAUAGGACAAAUGACACAGUUCAACAAAUAAAUGGAAAGGGGAAAAAAAAGGGAGGGGAACCUAAAAUUAAGAAAUUUAAGAAGUGUAUCAAGUAAAUGCAGUGUGUGAAUCUUGUAUGGAUCUUGAUUCAAACAAAACAAUUGUCAAAAACAUUUUAUAAGACUCAGGGAAAUUUGAACAUGUAUAAUACUUGGAAAAUUGAUCAUAUUAAAGAAUUAUUAAUUUUUUUAGAUGCGA